rnacentral:rRNA from 1 species
GAUGAACGCUGGCGGCGUGCCUAAUACAUGCAAGUCGAGCGAACAGACGAGGAGCUUGCUCCUCUGACGUUAGCGGCGGACGGGUGAGUAACACGUGGAUAACCUACCUAUAAGACUGGGAUAAUUUCGGGAAACCGGAGCUAAUACCGGAUAAUAUAUUGAACCGCAUGGUUCAAUAGUGAAAGACGGUUUUGCUGUCACUUAUAGAUGGAUCCGCGCCGCAUUAGCUAGUUGGUAAGGUAACGGCUUACCAAGGCAGCGAUGCGUAGCCGACCUGAGAGGGUGAUCGGCCACACUGGAACUGAGACACGGUCCAGACUCCUACGGGAGGCAGCAGUAGGGAAUCUUCCGCAAUGGGCGAAAGCCUGACGGAGCAACGCCGCGUGAGUGAUGAAGGUCUUCGGAUCGUAAAACUCUGUUAUUAGGGAAGAACAAAUGUGUAAGUAACUAUGCACGUCUUGACGGUACCUAAUCAGAAAGCCACGGCUAACUACGUG